GCUAAUUAAGUGUCACUUUGCACAUUGACUUUUCACGUCAAAAGAGCAUCCUAUGCAUUUAGCU
rnacentral:tRNA from 1 species